rnacentral:rRNA from 1 species
AAUAUUGGCCAUUGGGCGCAAGCUUGCUCCAGCCAUGCCGCGUGUGUGAAGAAGGUCUCCGGAUUGGAAAUCACUUUCAUUUGGGAGGAGGGGCCGUUAACGCAUACUUAACUGUUUUGACGUUAUCUAAAGAAUAAGCACCGGCUAAAUUCGUGCCAGAAGCCGAGGUAAUACGAAGGGUGCAAGCGUUAAUCGGAAUUACUGGGCGUAAAGCGCGCGUAGGUGGUUCGUUAAGUUGGAAGUGAAAGCCCAGGGCUCAACCUGGGAAUUGCUUUCAAAACUGGCGAGCUAGAGUACGGUAGAGGGUGGUGGAGUUUCCUGUGUAGCGGUGAAAUGCGUAGAUAUAGGAAGGAACAUCAGUGGCGAAGGCGACCACCUGGACUGAUACUGACACUGAGGUGCGAAAGCGUGGGGAGCAAACAGG